rnacentral:lncRNA from 1 species
GAGAAAACCAAAUUAGCCUCUCUGCAGCUCAGGGUGGCCAAGGGAGAAAGUAGAAGGAAUGGCCUGUUAGAAAAAUCUUUUAGAGAGGCUGGCUUGGCUGGCAGAACCACUGUUUUUCCCUCUCCCAUUUCCUACUGCUGCUGGCUUGGAGCACGGAUAGGCGGGCUGCAUCUCCGUCUGGUAGGAGCCUUCUGGGAUCACAAGCCUCAUCUUUGGUGUAAUCACUACAUGACUGUCAGAAUUUGUAGGUUUCAAAAACAGACACAUAGACCAAUGGAACAGAAUAGAGAACCCGGAAGUGGACCCUCGGCUCUUUGGGCAACUAAUCUUUGAUAAAGCAGGAAAAAACAUCUGGUGGAAAA